rnacentral:rRNA from 1 species
UACGUAGGGGGCAAGCGUUGUCCGGAUUCAUUGGGCGUAAAGAGCGUGUAGGCGGCCAUGUAGGUCCGUUGUGAAAACUCGAGGCUCAACCUCGAGACGCCGAUGGAAACCAUGUGGCUAGAGUCCGGAAGAGGAGAGUGGAAUUCCUGGUGUAGCGGUAAAAUGCGCAGAUAUCAGGAAGAACACCCGUGGCUAAGGCGGCUCUCUAGUACGGUACUGACGCUGAGACGCGAAAGCGUGGGGAGCGAACAGG